rfam:Stegodyphus mimosarum contig60589, whole genome shotgun sequence.
GCCUUCGUGGUGGAAUGGUCAGCACACCAGGAGCGCAUUCGAGAGGCCCGAGGUUCGAGUCCCGGCGAGGGCA